CAGUUGGUCGGUCUUGAGAUUAUUUGAAAACAACAGUGAGCGUUUUAUCCUUCAUCCUGAAUAACAAGCUUAACCUCAUGCUGUGCUGUGGAAGCCAGGGAUUAUGAGAGGUUGAUAAGGGAGGACCUAGGGCUGACAACCAAGGUCCACAGGAAACAUGCAGAAAUGACCUACAUUAGUUUAUUUAGGGCAAUAGGAUAAUAGGGUAACAGCAGCAUGUUUCUUACCACUUACUAAGAAAAGUGAAUAAUGAUUUCAAGUGGAUAACUUAAACACAAGACAUAGGCUGGUGUUUUACAAGACGAACUUAACAAGAUUUUUGCAGGGAACAAAAAACAAGUCUUCAGCAUCAACGAAAUAGUAACAAGUAUCCUCAUCAAGCUGAGCAAAAGGUACAAUCUUAAAAUAUCUCAGGUUCAUGCACUAAAGUCAACUUACACUUACCAUGAAGUAAAAAAGUUUUAUGAGGAUGUGAAAGUAGCAAUAAAGAAAGAUAAAACCGAGUUUUCAGUGGUCAUGGAGACUAAUGCUAUAGAGUGGGGACCAAAAUGUUGGUGAAGCAGCGGUUGACCAUUUUGGAAACGGUGCAAGAAGCGGGAGAGAAAAUCAGCUCGUUGAAUUUGUGGAAAGAAACAAACUGAUCUUCAUGAACACAUUUUCGAGAUAUGGACAUCAAUAACCCCUGAUAAAAACAUGAAUUUGAAUUAAUUUGUUCUUAUCGAAAAUCUGGACAUAGUAAAGGAUAAUACCCAGGAUUAAAUCCAAUGACCACCAACUGGAUUAUACCGAGGUCGGCAGUUUUAGUGGUUCACUCAACUUCAUCAGGCACGUCAGUGAUCUCUUGAACAUGUUGAACCAUGUUUUCAUUUCCGUGCUGUAAGUGCGCACAGGACUGUUCAACUGACUCCUUGUUCAACAAAGUAAUGAUCAAGGAAUUUCUUUAAGCUGGUUGUUUGUACAUGAAUCACUCAUCCAGGAAGGUUGUUCCAUCGCCUGAGGCUUCUAUUCGAGGAAAACAAAUCCUGUUGACCGCUAAUUUGGGAUUCCAAAAUCUUUGAGUGGUCGACGUUACUAUAUUUUUCAGGAAUUUGUACAACUUCAUAUAAGUCAUGUCAUAGUUAUUUGCUUUUCCGAAGUAAAGAGACUGAGUCGUUUGACUCAUUCUUCAUACUGCUGUUGCCUCAACGAUGAUAGAGUUUUCGUAGCGCGUCCCUGCAGUUUAUAAAGUCUUUGUAACUUCGGGAUCAGAUCUGCAGCACGGUGUAUUCCAGGGAGGCCUUGCCAACGAGUUUUAAAAAGUUAUCAAUACUCAGGACGUCUAACACUUAAAGUUCCCCGCUGAAAACCCGAGCAUAGUAUUAGCUCUGUUACAGGCAGACUUUCAGUUCUCUCAAUAUUUGAGGUCAUUGCCAUCAUAAGCUCAUACGCUGACGACUCCACUCUGCAAUAUUCAACGUCUUUCAACAGAAGACCCUCUCAACAUGAAGUGCAAGACUCCAAACUUGAGGUUGCAGAAUGCUUAACCUCAGACCUUACUAUCAUUUCUGAUUGGGGUAAAAGGAACCUUGUGUCCUUCAGUGUCUCAAAAAUCCAAUUUCUCCACCUAUGAACUCGACACAGUCUUCCAAACACCUAUCCCCUGUUCUUUAACAACACUCAGCUGUCACCUUCUUCAACACUAAACAUCCUUGGUCUAUCCUUAAGUCAAAAUCUUAUCUAGGAACCUAACAUCUCCUCUCUCACUAAAUCAGCUUCCUCAAGGUUGGGCGUUCUGUAUCGUCUCCACCAGUUCUUCUCCCCCGCACAGUUGCUAUCCAUAUACAGGGGCCUUGUCCGCCCUCGUAUGGAGUAUGCAUCUCACAUGUGUGUGUGUGGGGGGGGGCCGGGGCUCCACUCACACUGCUCUCUUGGACAGAGUGGAGUCUAAGGUUCUUCGUUUCAUCAGCUCUCCUCCUCUUACUGAUAGUCAUCUACCCCUUAAAUUCCACCGCCAUGUUGCAUCUCUUUCUAUCUUUAUCAUUAUUUUCACACUGACUGCUCUUCUGAACUUGCUAACUGCAUGCCUCCCCCCUUUUGCGGCCUCGCUGCACACGACUUUCUACUCAAGCUCAUCCCUUUAGUGUCCAAAUCCCUUACGCACGAGUUAACUAGCAUCUUCACUCUUUCAUCCCUCACGCUGGUAAACUCUGGAACAAUCUUCCUUCAUCUGUAUAUCCUCCUGCCUAUGACUUGAACUCUUUCAAGAGGAGGGUAUAAGGACACCUCUCCUCCCGAAACUGACCUCUCUUUUGGCCACUCCUCUUAACUCUUUUAUAGGAGCAGUGUGUAGCAGGCUUUUUUUCACUAUUGUUUCCUUUUUAUUUUAUUUUAUUUUAUUUAUUUAUUUAUUUAUUUAUUUUAUUUUAUUUUAUUUUAAUUUUUUUUUUUUUUUUUUUCCCCUUGAACUGUUUCCUCAGCUAUAAAAAAAUCUAAUUUCGCUAGGAUAUAUAACAUCCCUUUAGCUAUGGUUUGUCUUUUUCAUUUAUACUGUUCAAAAGGAUUAGGGGAGGAAUGUAAACAAAGCAAAGAAAGAGAAAGCAGAAAAGGUAUAAAGAACUCUAAAAGCCAGUGAAGACAUGAGAAGCCAUAGAGAGCAAGGGAGGGAGGCGAAGCUGGCGGAGAGUGAGGACGUAAAAGAGUAAAAGACAAAACGAAGAAUGACAAAUGACAGAAGAUAGACCAUGAAUGUCAAGGAGGGAAUAUAACCCUUAAAGACCCAACAAAUAAUAAACAUGUUUGCAAGGUUAUGACAAAGGUGGCUAUGUGGAUGGAUGAUGAAGACUAGAGGUAAAACAAGGAGAGGGACACACGGACAUGAAGGGAAGGAAGAUGAGGGUUUUGUGCUUCACGAUGGGGUGCGUGAGGGACCGGCGGGUCGUUGGUGUACGAGAUGUUGAUGUGUUGCGUUAGGAGACUAUGAGGAGGGUCUGGGGGAAAGCUAACAAUGAAAAUGAUGAUAAUAACAGUAAGAAUGAAAAUAAUAACUUUACAACUAUCAAUAUAAUGAAAAUGUGUAAUAAAGCGCAUGAAGACAAUGACCAAGAGACCAGUGGAGCAGGAGGGAGGAAAGAUGAUUCCGAGAUACUAUGUUUCGAGUCGGUUCCGAAAUUCAGACACGAAUAACAUCGAGUAUGACCUUUCUUUCACACUGCCUCUCCUCACCAAUGCAUCACUGCGUCCAGGACCAUAAAGCAUCACAAAGCAUAAAAAAAAGUCACCAGGCUUUCUAUGUAGGUUGGGGAGUCACUGAUUUCUUGGCCGAGUCUGAAGUUUGAGGCAUUUGAAGCAGGAAUAAGUUCGGAGCGAGAGAGAAGGAGAGAGAGGGUUGGGAGGGGGUGCAGCGAGGAAGGUGGAUGUAAAAGAGGCUUGAAGGAGGGAAGAGGACGAGGAAGGAAAGGAGGGAAUUAAAAGUUGCUGUUUAAUAGCACUUACAGAGGAAGGAGAGAGGAGGAGGGACGGGAGGAGAGGGGAGAGGGAAGGGGGAGAGCUUUAGCGGUGAUAGUCCAGCUCACGACAGGCCAGAGAAAGGUGCACGGGUCCUCCUCUUCCAUUGAACCAGCGAGCCCCACCCACUGGCCCCGCCCGCUGUCCUGCAGAAGGCCGACUCCGGAUUCCCUGUGAGGCGAGUGGCUGGUAGCAGACUUUUGCUCCUUUGUCAUCAGGAGUGUGUUCUGACGUCAUUCACUGUGAGGCAAUGCUGCAUCAGGGUUCAUCCACUCAACUCAUGGCCGUGCAGUCCGACCGUCCAGGGGACUAUGUAAGGAGAGGUGGUCUUGUCAAGACGACGAUGAGCAACAGUAGAAAGCCAC